CUAGAGACCUUCAAUCUCUGCAUCUUCUAUAAAGUUUAUAUUCCUCACUUUUAACCAUUCGUUUCGAUUCUUUUAGGAUUGCUCUUCAGGUGAUCAUUCAGAUGAGGCUCCACCUCCUUCUCGAUUCCAGGGGAAAGAGCCAGUCUUGCCUUCUUGGACCGUACCCCGUCUUCACAAAGGAUGGUGCCAUCAAAGAGGUACCAAUACCCCGGAAGAAAAAUGUGAUGGGGUAUCCACUAUCCACUGGCCCUUGGGACUCGCCAGAUCACAAAUGCUGAGGUGCAGGACCUUAUAUGGAUGGUCGGGAACCUAAAGCUAGAGGUUACUCGAUAUUCUCGCCUUCUGUAUAAGGGGAGUGAUCAGUCUGUGGAUGACACAAGAGAUGCCAAUUCUUCAGGGAGCAUCACUGCUCAACGAGUCUCGAAGAGAAUGAGAAGACCUAGCUACUAGAUCUAUUCAUAAACUUGUUAUUUUAUGUUUUUUCUCUGUCUUUGUUAUGUGUAUGUGCAUGUGUUUGUUAACAUUUCCAGCAUUUUGUUGGAAACAAAAAAAAAAAAAAAAAAAAAAAAAAGAUCAUUUUUUGGUCCAGGGCUAGUUCAUACAUUUGAAUGUAAAAUUAAAGUUUUAACGAA